AGCAGCCGCGGUAAUUCCAGCUCCAAUAGCGUAUAUUAAAGUUGUUGCAGUUAAAAAGCUCGUAGUUGAAUUUCGGGAUCAAUACGUCGGUCGUGCUUCGGUACGUACUAACGUCAUUGAUUUCUCCCUUCUGACGAAUCGUGAUGUCAUUAAUUUGGUGUUACGGGGAGUUAGGACUGUUACUUUGAAAAAUUAGAGUGUUUAAAGCAAGCAAUCGCUCGAAUACAUUAGCAUGGAAUAAUGAAAUAGGACGUUCGAACCUAUUUUGUUGGUUUCUAGGAUCGACGUAAUGAUUAAUAGGGAUAGUUGGGGGCAUUCGUAUUCAAUUGUCAGAGGUGAAAUUCUUGGAUUUAUUGAAGACUAACUACUGCGAAAGCAUUUGCCAAGGAUGUUUUCAUUAAUCAAGAGCGAAAGUUGGGGGGAUCGAAGACGAUCAGAUACCGUCGUAGUCUUAACCAUAAACUAUGCCGAACUAGGGAUCGGAUGAUGUUAAUUUUAUAAUGACUCGUUCGGCGCCUUA
rnacentral:rRNA from 1 species